UACGUAUGGUGCAAGCGUUACCCGGAUUUACUGGGUGUAAAGGGAGCGCAGGCGGCACGGCAAGCCUGAUGUGAAAGCCCGCGGCCCAACCGCGGGACUGCAUUGGGAACUACCGGGCUGGAGUGCCGGAGAGGUAGGCGGAAUUCCUAGUGUAGCGGCGAAAUGCGUAGAUAUUAGGAGGAACACCAGUGGCGAAGGCGGCCUACUGGACGGUGACUGACGCUGAGGCUCGAAAGCGUGGGGAGCAAACAGG
rnacentral:rRNA from 1 species